GUCUUGUUAGUUAAAAAAUAACAUCACUUUUUCAAGGUGACAUUGGAUUUUAUAUUCACAGGAUA
rnacentral:tRNA from 1 species